AUUGAACGCUGGCGGCAGGCCUAACACAUGCAAGUCGAGCGGAUGAAGGGAGCUUGCUCCUGGAUUCAGCGGCGGACGGGUGAGUAUUGCCUAGGAACCUGCCUGGUAGUGGGGGAUAACGUCCGGAAACGGGCGCUAAUACCGCAUACGUCCUGAGGGAGAAAGUGGGGGAUCUUCGGACCUCACGCUAUCAGAUGAGCCUAGGUCGGAUUAGCUAGUUGGUGGGGUAAAGGCCUACCAAGGCGACGAUCCGUAACUGGUCUGAGAGGAUGAUCAGUCACACUGGAACUGAGACACGGUCCAGACUCCUACGGGAGGCAGCAGUGGGGAAUAUUGGACAAUGGGCGAAAGCCUGAUCCAGCCAUGCCGCGUGUGUGAAGAAGGUCUUCGGAUUGUAAAGCACUUUAAGUUGGGAGGAAGGGCAGUAAGUUAAUACCUUGCUGUUUUGACGUUACCAACAGAAUAAGCACCGGCUAACUUCGUG
rnacentral:rRNA from 1 species